rnacentral:lncRNA from 10 species
GAAAUAAUGGGAGCAUGAACUUUGCAGAAAAGAUAAAAAUGGAAUGAAGACAGAACUCUGUGAGAGAAAGAACAUAGUAACUAUUCUAAUGAUGUUGGGAUCCUCAGUCUUCCAGAGGAUGGCAAUGGGAUUUGCUAAUACAGGAUGGGAGAGAGAAUGAUGUGUGAGUGUCUGUGAUGAAGAUGUCACACUUACAGCAGAAACUGAGAAACAGUGGAUAACUUCUGAAAUCUUUGGGUAUAAUCAUCUAUCUUGUGUGAUCUAAUAAUUUAAGAAAGAAGUGAUUAUGCUGUUGAAAUCGUGAAGAUUUUACAGACUGCCUCCCAGAUUCACUGCCAGCAUCAGCAUGCUUGACUAGGAGAGUCAGGAGGGCCCUGCCAAGUCUGAUGCACUAUCUCUACCAUGACACCCUGAGGAGGAACUUGGAUUUCAAAUUAGUGAGCAGUCGGUACAAUGUAUUUCACUAUGCCAUGUUCAACAGAAAGGAAUACGAGCUUGAAAUACAUUCACAGAGUCUGUCAUCUUUUCCUAUCUCUCCAACAAAGAGAAGAGCUUUCUUUCUAGUUUGGACUGCCAAUGUCUUCCCUUCCACCUCGGGACUCAUUCUCUUGCAAUUUGGCACUGCCAACCCAGCUGGACAUUUGAGAGACAAUAAUGUCUGUGUCGGACUUUGCCUGUGCAACCCCAGCUCCAGUGAAGGGGCAGAGCUGUGUUUGUGACUCAGACUCCUUGGCUUCAGCUGACCCAUCAUCCAGUUCCCUGUCUUCUGCUAGCAGUACCCUGAUUUUGCUCUGUGGAAUCAUCCUCUUCCUGACUUUCAGCUCAUGUGCUUCUGGUAAUGAAUGGUGGCGCUUGGAUGUGGCUCCCAGCUUUCUGAAAGGAUACUCCAAAAAGAAUGUUCUAACCUCCAAAGUUGGUUUCCAUAAGGAAUUUAAAGAUUGUCCUGGGAUGAUGGACCCCACAGAAGUUAUAACAAGAAGAGGACAAGAGUGACCAUUAAGUAUGAACUUCUUUAGGAGAAUAUAACAGGUUUGGAAGAUCAAGGAAUGAAGGUGCUGGGAGAAUCAAACAGUUUAAUAUAUGUAAAAUGCUUAGCCUAGCCUUUCGUCUUGCUCAAUUGCCACUGCCAUGAGAGGAGCUUCCACUGAGAAGCUACUAUCCCCCAAGUCUGGUUCUCAGAAUAUGCACAUGUGGAAGAGAAGAAAGCCUGACUUUUAGCAAGAAGCCUAUUCCUGUGGUAUGUGCAACCUCAGCAGAGCUUUUCAUUAAAGUCAAGUCCAGUCCAAAUCAGCUGAUCCUUGAGUGACCUGCAUAUAUCUGAGAAAUAUUAUUGUUGUAUGCCACUGAUAGAUAUUUUGUGAUUGAUUAUCUAUCUGUCACAUAACAAAAGCUGACUGACAUACAUGUAGUUUCAGGAUUAUCAAAAAGGCAUUAUCUUUUCAAAAAUGCUAGAAAUAAUUCCAAAGAUAAUUGUUUGUGCCAGAUGACAUAAUUGUAUAUACAUUGUAGAUGGAAUUAUCAAGAUUACUUUUAAUGCCAACGACAUUUAGGAAUGCUAAUUAACUUAUGAAACACCAUCACAUAUCAUUAAUAAAGGAAAUUUAUAUUUUGUGUUCCCUAAAUGGCACUAUAGGAAAUGUAACAUAUGCUCAUUAAGUUUGCGGUUAUGAUUUUAAUCAUUGAAAUGAAGUCAAUGAAAUUGUAUAACUGAAAAAUUCCACCAAAUAACUAUAAAUUUCACUUUUAGAUGGAUAUUAGAAUUUAUAAAAUAUGUCUAGUGACUUAAUUGUAUACUAUUUAACAAUUACAAGACUAUUAUAACAUAUUUAAUUAACAGAAUUGAAACAAGUAUUUGUUGAAAAACAAAGAACAUUUUAAACAA